rnacentral:rRNA from 1 species
CCUACGGGAGACUGCAGUAGGGAAUCUUCCACAAUGGGCGAAAGCCUGAUGGAGCAACGCCGCGUGGGUGAAGAAGGUCUUCGGAUCGUAAAACCCUGUUGUUAGAGAAGAAAGUGCGUGAGAGUAACUGUUCACGUUUCGACGGUAUCUAACCAGAAAGCCACGGCUAACUACGUGCCAGCAGCCGCGGUAAUACGUAGGUGGCAAGCGUUAUCCGGAUUUAUUGGGCGUAAAGGGAACGCAGGCGGUCUUUUAAGUCUGAUGUGAAAGCCUUCGGCUUAACCGGAGUAGUGCAUUGGAAACUGGGAGACUGGAGUGCAGAAGAGGAGAGUGGAACUCCAUGUGUAGCGGUGAAAUGCGUAGAUAUAUGGAAGAACACCAGUGGCGAAAGCGGCUCUCUGGUCUGUAACUGACGCUGAGGUUCGAAAGCGUGGGUAGCAAACAGGAUUAGAUACCCGUGUAGUC